UACGUAGGGUGCGAGCGUUAAUCGGAAUUACUGGGCGUAAAGCGUGCGCAGGCGGUUUUGUAAGCCAGAUGUGAAAUCCCCGGGCUUAACCUGGGAAUGGCAUUUGGGACUGCAAGGCUUGAGUGCGGCAGAGGAGACUGGAAUUCCUGGUGUAGCAGUGAGAUGCGUAGAUAUCAGGAGGAACACCGGUGGCGAAGGCGGGUCUCUGGGCCGAUACUGACGCUGAGGAGCGAAAGCGUGGGGAGCGAACAGG
rnacentral:rRNA from 1 species